rnacentral:lncRNA from 1 species
CGGGGGAGAGUUGACUACUGUGAACUUUGUGGUCGGGGGAUGUGUGGGCACUUGUGUUGUUGUGGUUAGGUGAAACGUGGACACUCCCUGUGUGGAUGCAGUGGUCGGUGACAGGGAACUAGCUUGAGGAUCAUCUGCAGAAUCACGAUGUAGCUGAGCUUCGUAUUGACUGAUGAUAGGGGAUGUCUUUUGAGGCAAGUCAUCUGUCUCCAUUGGGGCUUGAUCCUGAAACCAAAAAUGAAUUCUUCAUUAGUGGUGAAAACACAAAGCUAUUUAUCUGGCAAAAAGUGUGUUCUUUACAAUUCACCUGAUUAUGACUUGGUUCUGGAGUGUGGGGUGGUGUGUUGGACUGCUUGCGACGAGAAAAAAGUUUGUUGAAAGAUGAUAGCCUUGCAUGAGAUCGUUUCUUCCUACGUUUCAUCUCGCGUUUGAGCUGCUUCAUCUGCGUUGAAAAUUGGAUCACCAUCUCCGU